rnacentral:rRNA from 1 species
UAAUACUGGAUAGGCAAUUAUUCCUGUAAUGUUUUUUUGUUUAAAUGUUUUUUCGCCUAAGGAUGGGUCUGCGGCCGAUUAGGUAGUUGGGUUAGGUAAUGGCUUACCAAGCCUUUGAUCGGUACGGGUUGUGAGAGCAAGAGCCCGGAGAUGGAACCUGAGACAAGGUUCCAGGCCCUACGGGGUGCAGCAGGCGCGAAACCUCCGCAAUGUGAGAAAUCGCGACGGGGGGAUCCCAAGUGCCAUUCUUAACGGGAUGGCUUUUCUUUAGUGUAAAAAGCUUUUGGAAUAAGAGCUGGGCAAGACCGGUGCCAGCCGCCGCGGUAACACCGGCAGCUCUAGUGGUAGCUGUUUUUAUUGGGCCUAAAGCGUUCGUAGCCGGUUUGAUAAGUCACUGGUGAAAUCCUGUAGCUUAACUGUGGGAAUUGCUGGUGAUACUGUUGAACUUGAGGUCGGGAGAGGUUAGCGGUACUCCCAGGGUAGAGGUGAAAUUCUGUAAUCCUGGGAGGACCACCUGUGGCGAAGGCGGCUAACUGGAACGAACCUGACGGUGAGGGACGAAAGCUAGGGGCGCGAACCGGAUUAGAUACCCGGGUAGUCCUAGCCGUAAACGAUGCGGACUUGGUGU